GCUGAGGCUGAAGGAGCAGAUAGAGCUGGAGCUGGCAGUCUUCGUCCUUGUCUACAGGGUGAUCAAACUGUCCAUCCGGGUCAUGGUGCUGGAGCCACCAGCAGCUCCAUGACGGAUCCAUCACUCCUGGGGUCCUCGUCACCUUCCUGCUGUACCAGGACAGAGUUGGUAGCCAUAUCCAGGUGCUGCUCUACAGCUUCAAUGAAUUCCUGACCAACGCAGCUGCUGGACAGAGGAUCUGGGAAUACCUGAAUUGGAAACCCGCAGGGAAUGUCGGGGGGACGCGGAAGCCCCCUGAGCUUCAGGGCCAUUUCACUUUUCAGAAGGUCUCCUUCACAUAUCCUGGAAAUCCAGAGCACCCUGUGCUGAAGGACGUGAGCUUCGAGGUGCGCUUCGGGGAGGUGACGGCGCUGGCGGGGCCCAAUGGCAGCGGGAAGAGCACGG